GCGCGCCUAACACAUGCAAGUCGAACGAGCGAGAGAGAGCUUGCUUUCUCAAGCGAGUGGCGAACGGGUGAGUAACGCGUGAGGAACCUGCCUCAAAGAGGGGGACAACAGUUGGAAACGACUGCUAAUACCGCAUAAGCCCACGACCCGGCAUCGGGUAGAGGGAAAAGGAGCAAUCCGCUUUGAGAUGGCCUCGCGUCCGAUUAGCUAGUUGGUGAGGUAAUGGCCCACCAAGGCGACGAUCGGUAGCCGGACUGAGAGGUUGAACGGCCACAUUGGGACUGAGACACGGCCCAGACUCCUACGGGAGGCAGCAGUGGGGAAUAUUGCACAAUGGGGGAAACCCUGAUGCAGCGACGCCGCGUGGAGGAAGAAGGUCUUCGGAUUGUAAACUCCUGUUGUUGAGGAAGAUAAUGACGGUACUCAACAAGGAAGUGACGGCUAACUACGUGCCAGCAGCCGCGGUAAAACGUAGGUCACAAGCGUUGUCCGGAAUUACUGGGUGUAAAGGGAGCGCAGGCGGGAAGACAAGUUGGAAGUGAAAUCCAUGGGCUCAACCCAUGAACUGCUUUCAAAACUGUUUUUCUUGAGUAGUGCAGAGGUAGGCGGAAUUCCCGGUGUAGCGGUGGAAUGCGCAGAUAUCGGGAGGAACACCAGUGGCGAAGGCGGCCUACUGGGCACCAACUGACGCUGAGGCUCGAAAGUGUGGGUAGCAAACAGGAUUAGAUACCCUGGUAGUCCACACUGUAAA
rnacentral:rRNA from 1 species